ACGGAAGGCAGCAGUGGGGAAUAUUGCACAAUGGGGGAAACCCUGAUGCAGCGACGCCGCGUGAUUGAAGAAGUAUUUCGGUAUGUAAAGAUCUAUCAGCAAGGAAGAAAAUGACGGUACUUGACUAAGAAGCCCCGGCUAACUACGUGCCAGCAGCCGCGGUAAUACGUAGGGGGCAAGCGUUAUCCGGAUUUACUGGGUGUAAAGGGAGCGUAGGCGGUUUGGCAAGCCAGAAGUGAAAACCCGGGGCUCAACCUCGGGAUUGCUUUUGGAACUGUCGAACUGGAGUGCUGGAGGGGCAGGCGGAAUUCCUGGUGUAGCGGUGAAAUGCGUAGAUAUCAGGAGGAACACCGGUGGCGAAGGCGGCCUGCUGGACAGUAACUGACGCUGAGGCUCGAAAGCGUGGGGAGCAAACAGGAUUAGAUACCCUGGUA
rnacentral:rRNA from 1 species